GCUGGACUCCUACGUACCCUCUAUCCAGUAGGACAAAAGGGCUGAGAAGACCAGGAUGGGUCAGAGCUGGCUACUACCGUUACUGGCCCCAGGGUGCCUACACUUGAGAGGUUCCUUCUCCCGUUACCCACCCUGCUGCGCCCAAUUGGGACGCACCCCGGCCACACCCCUCCUCCUCCAGAACCCAGGCCCCGCCCCUCUCACUAGAGCUCAAGGACACCUACAGCUGAGGUGCCCUGGCUCCGCCCCCUCCCGUAACCCUCCCUGUUGUGCCCGAUCCUAGCACUCCUGGGCUACACCGCUUCUCUUUCUGAACCCAGGACCCACCCCUCCCAUGAUCCCGACCCCGACCCCGGACACCCACGGCUGAAGAGCCUGGCCACAGGCCUCCUCUUCCUGUAGCCAGGCUCAACCCCCUCUGUCGACUUCCCCUGUUGUGCCCAAUCCUGGUGCUGCCAGGCUAUGCCCCUCCUCUUCAUCAACCCAGGCCCGCCCCCUGCAUGCCCCUCCCAUGGCCCAGCCCCAGGAUGCCCUUAGCUGAGGAGCCUGGCCACGCCCCUUCUCCUGUAGCCAGGCUCCGCCCCCUCCCACGACCUUACCAGUUGCACACCCUGCUCUCUGAAUCUUUCCCACCUCCUGACUAAAGCACUGCAGUCAGCCAUGCUUUAUGUCCAGCAGAGACCCUUCUAGAGGGGUCGCCACAGAGCGCUGCUUCAUCUCUCUCCUCAGCAGGCGAGGAGCCUCCUACUAUGACCUUGGCCGCCUCCCCUGGGCAGGUUGAGGUGUGAGCACCUGCGGGCCUCACCAACCCCAGGCCUCACCUUCCCGCCAAGCCUGCCCCAGGCGUCCCUCAUGCUGAGCAGCGUGAGUGUGAGGGGCAGCAGGAGAAGUCUGUUACCAACUCAUGCCAAGUAGAAUAACCAAGUAGAAGCUGUCAGGCUCCUUAAACCACUCUUGGUUAAGAAAGCAGUCUUGAGAACAUUUUGGAAGAAGCUAAUCCUGAAACUACUGUAGUCAUGGUAUGCAGACCACUACAGAGCUGUCUGCUCAGAGCUCUGUCAUUGGAAGUCAAGCUUCAGGACAUUCUGUUGCAUGGAAGGAGGGUAGAGCAGCCAAGGGUGUUGGAAGCCCAUGGACACUUUGAACUCUACACCAACUGUCUCAUCUUCACCUUGACCUGGUCAUGGAGCCUCUGAGCCAAGGCCACUCAGUUGAGUGUACACUGGUUUGUGUGGUACAAUGCCAUGUCUGCCUACACUCUCAUGCCUGUGGGAUCUGUGGGCAAUGCACAGCUCCCUGCUUGAUUCCUGGAUUUGUUGACUCCAGUUAAAAUCAUCUGAGGCCUCUCCACCAAGGCUCUCUUGCUCUGGGUCUCCUUAGGCCAUCCUUCAAUCUCCACUGGCCAUGUGGAUUCUCUCCCUUCCUCACUCACCCUCUUGCUGCUCAAGGCAGCUAUGAGUUCUGUAGAACACAGUCCUCCCCUGACCUCUCUCCACCUGCUUGUCUCUUCCCAUCCCCACCUUAGCAGGCCCCUCAGUUUCUUGGGGAAGUUACAUGGGACGUGUGUUCAUGCAUUCUAAAUCCCACCUUACUGACUCUAACUGCCAAUGUGUUUGCCCCUGGGGAUCCAUUGGGAAGUGAUGAGCUCUUCUAAAGGGGUAUCUUUAUUUCAUCUCUGUGUACCUGGAGGGAGGAAGGAGGAGUUGAGGAGGAGAAAUCAAGAAAGCAGGAGAAUAGAGCAGAGGACAAUAUAAGAUGUAACUAGACAGGAUCUUCUGACUGAGAAAAAAUAGAAAUGAGACCCAGGAGUCAGAGGAUUUGCUGCCAGAGGUGGAAUGGGGUGUGACUUGACAUCUAUUAUCUCAUCUGGCUCCUCCAUUUCCUUGCAGAGAGGGUGUACUAUCACAGAGGGAGGUGAAUUUAUCUUGGUGUACAGAAAAUCUGGUAGGUGGAGAUCAACUUCAUUGGAAGAUUUGCUUUUGGAGGUGGAAUGGGGUCAGGCUCAACCUCUUUUGUAUGGCUUUCUCUGUUCUUCCUUGGAUGAAAUGCAUGCUGCCACUUUGGGAGGUGGUUCUGUCUCAGUGGAUGGAGACUCAGCUGGUUGGAGAUCACAGCAGCCAGAAGAUAUGCUGUCAGAGGUGGAAUGGCAUCAGGCUGUACCACUUCUGAGUCAGGUGGCUCCUGGUGGUUUUGGAAACAAGUUCUGCUACCACACUGGGAGGUGAUUGUAUCUCAGUGAAAGGAUAAUCAGUGGCUAGAGAUCCACAGCAGCAGGAGGAUAUGCUGAAAGGAUUGUCCUAAGAGGACAGCCUGUAAUAUAAUUUAAUAUCCACAGAGCAGAAUCUAAUACUGUU
rnacentral:lncRNA from 1 species